GACGAACGCUGGCGGCGUGCCUAAUACAUGCAAGUAGAACGCUGAGGUUUGGUGUUUACCUAGACUGAUGAGUUGCGAACGGGUGAGUAACGCGUAGGUAACCUGCCUCAUAGCGGGGGAUAACUAUUGGAAACGAUAGCUAAUACCGCAUAAGAGUAAUUAACACAUGUUGGUUAUUUAAAAGGAGCAAUUGCUUCACUGUGAGAUGGACCUGCGUUGUAUUAGCUAGUUGGUGAGGUAAAGGCUCACCAAGGCGACGAUACAUAGCCGACCUGAGAGGGUGAUCGGCCACACUGGGACUGAGACACGGCCCAGACUCCUACGGGAGGCAGCAGUAGGGAAUCUUCGGCAAUGGACGGAAGUCUGACCGAGCAACGCCGCGUGAGUGAAGAAGGUUUUCGGAUCGUAAAGCUCUGUUGUUAGAGAAGAACGUUGGUAGGAGUGGAAAAUCUACCAAGUGACGGUAACUAACCAGAAAGGGACGGCUAACUACGUGCCAGCAGCCGCGGUAAUACGUAGGUCCCGAGCGUUGUCCGGAUUUAUUGGGCGUAAAGCGAGCGCAGCGGUUCUUUAAGUCUGAAGUUAAAGGCAGUGGCUUAACCAUUGUACGCUUUGGAAACUGGAGGACUUGAGUGCAGAAGGGGAGAGUGGAAUUCCAUGUGUAGCGGUGAAAUGCGUAGAUAUAUGGAGGAACACCGGUGGCGAAAGCGGCUCUCUGGUCUGUAACUGACGCUGAGGCUCGAAAGCGUGGGGAGCAAACAGGAUUAGAUACCCUGGUAGUCCACGCCGUAAACGAUGAGUGCUAGGUGUUAGGCCCUUUCCGGGGCUUAGUGCCGCAGCUAACGCAUUAAGCACUCCGCCUGGGGAGUACGACCGCAAGGUUGAAACUCAAAGGAAUUGACGGGGGCCCGCACAAGCGGUGGAGCAUGUGGUUUAAUUCGAAGCAACGCGAAGAACCUUACCAGGUCUUGACAUCCUUCUGACCGGCCUAGAGAUAGGCUUUCUCUUCGGAGCAGAAGUGACAGGUGGUGCAUGGUUGUCGUCAGCUCGUGUCGUGAGAUGUUGGGUUAAGUCCCGCAACGAGCGCAACCUCUAUUGUUAGUUGCCAUCAUUAAGUUGGGCACUCUAGCGAGACUGCCGGUAAUAAACCGGAGGAAGGUGGGGAUGACGUCAAAUCAUCAUGCCCCUUAUGACCUGGGCUACACACGUGCUACAAUGGUUGGUACAACGAGUCGCAAGCCGGUGACGGCAAGCUAAUCUCUUAAAGCCAAUCUCAGUUCGGAUUGUAGGCUGCAACUCGCCUACAUGAAGUCGGAAUCGCUAGUAAUCGCGGAUCAGCACGCCGCGGUGAAUACGUUCCCGGGCCU
rnacentral:rRNA from 1 species